rnacentral:rRNA from 1 species
UAGGGAAUCUUCCACAAUGGACGCAAGUCUGAUGGAGCAACGCCGCGUGAGUGAAGAAGAUCUUCGGAUCGUAAAACUCUGUCGUUAGAGAAGAACACGAGUGAGAGUAACUGUUCAUUCGAUGACGGUAUCUAACCAGCAAGUCACGGCUAACUACGUGCCA